CGGCAACAAAAGCAGCCAUUAAUGGGCCACAAUUAUCAACCAUUUGUUCGUGGCUAACCCACAGGGGUUAUAUAUAGGAAGACAACAGUUCGAUUGUGGGAGACGUGAUUUGCUUCUUUUCCCAAAAGUGUUGCGUUAUACCUCGUAGCUAAAUAACCACGUUACAACACUUGUUAUUUUAAUUUCCUUGGCCUUGUCAGUUCGCCCGGAGAAUCGGCAGAUCAAAAUUGCUGUAAUCCCUGACCGAAUUGAAAACGUCCUUAGGUGAACUGCUGAAAAAGGAAGAAGCAAGCAUGCUACAAUGACAAAAAAUAGGACUAACUAGAGUUCUAGUUAUGAAACUCAGCUCACUCUAUUAGUAACAUAUUUCUGUAUUUGGGCUAUAGGGUGACCAGUUUUCCACCUCUAUAGGAAAAGUCCUAAAAAUAAUCACUGCAUGCAGGAAGAUGACAGAAAUUCAGCAAUUACUAAAAAAUGUACAUUCAUGGCAGCAAAGGUGUGGAAUCAAUUUACUACCAAAAUAUAUAGUAUAUCUCAGUGGUGGCGAACCUAUGGCACACAUGCCAGAGGCGGCACUCAGAGCCCUCUCUGUGGGCAUGCGCGCCAUGCCCCCAAGAUGGCAACCGUCCCUCUUCAACCAGCUGCCCACU